GACGUAGGGGGCGAGCGUUGUCCGGAUUUAUUGGGCGUAAAGCGCGCGUAGGCGGCUGCGCAAGUCGGUUGUGACACCCCGGGGCUCAACCCCGGAACUGCAUCCGAUACUGCGUGGCUAGAGGUAGGUAGGGGAGAUCGGAAUUCCUGGUGUAGCGGUGAAAGGCGCAGAUAUCAGGAGGAACACCGGUGGCGAAGGCGGAUCUCUGGGCCUUACCUGACGCUCAUGCACGAAAGCGUGGGGAGCAAACAGG
rnacentral:rRNA from 1 species